UCUUCAAGACAAGAAACGAACGAAACAAAAACGCAGACAUUGUGGAUCGAUUGCGACACAUCCAUUCUUUCUUCUUCAAGAAUCGAAUGAAAUGAAAACUCUGUGUGUGGAUGUUCGGUGGUUCGCUCAACCAUCUUUAUUAUUUGCAACAUCAACAAACAACAUUCAAUUUUCUGCUUGAAAAAAGGUACGACUUUAACCAUUUUUUUCUCAUUCUUGAUCAUACAAGAAAAUUCAAUCUUCUGCUUGAGAAAAACAAAAUAACCUUAAUUGUGCAAAUUGUGUUCUGUUCUGUCCCAAAAGAACCUUAAAAGACAGUUUUUUGUUCGUCACAAUAAAGAAUCUCACUCGUGUUUGGAACGAUGGUGGGUUUCCUGUAACCCUAAAUUUGCAUUGUGUGAAGAAAUCUGUUUUCAUUAUCUAAAAAAGGGGUGGAAUAUAUUUCUAUAGUAACCCUAAACUUGACAGUUGGAAUCGAUGAAUAUAAUUUGUUUUGUAAAUUUUGAAAUGGAUGGAUCCUAGAUUUCUCAAUGACCCUAGUCCCCGAAUGCGAAAGCUAGUUGAUAAUUCAACAACAUAGGUAUAUAGUAUGCUUUGAUGACCCUUAGUCCCUGAAUUCGAUUAUGCAUUAUGAACAAUAUUCAAUCUUCUGCUUCAUAAAAAGAAAACAAAAGAACCUUAAUUGAGCAAAUGUGUUCUUUUUGUCCCUUGACCCUUUUGUUUGUUUGGCACCAAUUUUUGAAAGAUUAACUUUUUGUUUGUUACGAUAAUGUAGUUUCACACAUUUUUGGAAUUUUCAUUCCAACAUAUUUUCCCCAUUUGGAUUAUAAUCAAUACCUUUUGGGAACAAUGAUGAGCUUUGAUAAAAACUUUUAAUCUCCUGCUUCGGUAAAAAGUGAUUGGAUGUCUUGAUGCCCAAAAAAUGCUGGAUAAAUUGCUUAAUGAUGUCCCUAGUCCCUGAAUGCGAAAGCUAGUUGUUGCCUUAAUUGCUACUCAAGCAAUUGUCUCUAUCGGUGUCCGCUUUUCUAUUAAAAAAAUUAUGAAUUUUUAUUCAUAAUAAUGAAUGAAUGGGUAUAUAGUCUGCUUUGAUAACACUUAGUCCCUAAAUUCAAUUCUGCAACUGCAAUUAGAAGUGAUUUUGCAUUAUGAACAUAACGACCCUUGUCCCAAAUGUUUCAUAAGUUUUGUAAGGGAUGGAUGCCUCAGUGACCUUUGAGAAAAAUGCAUUAUGAAUUCUUUAUUCGUAAUAGAAAAGUUGGAUGGUGGCUUUCAAAGGAAAUAUUUUUUUAAUAUGAGAUAAAAAAUAAUAUUUCCUGUAACUGAAGUUAGAAGAAUGCUGUUGGGUAAAGGGAUGGUUGAUGGUUCAGAUACGGCUUCAUGCACGAAUCAGAGCAACCUUUUGAAAAUGAAAAGUCAGAUCAAGAGGUUUCAGUGUUUCAAACAGCGGCUAUAGUAGCGGUACAAUGUAGCAGAAUUCAAACAAACCACUAUUGUUCUGUAAUAUGCUAUUUAGUACUGAAGACCAUUGCUCAAAUAAGCACUCCUGAUCCCAGUUUUCUUUUGGUACAACCAUAUGACAAAUCAAGGUUUGAAAUGUGAGGAACCAACUCUGUCAACUGGGAUCUAAGAGUGAGAGAUAAAUAGUAGAAUUUUCAGUAUGAGCUACAGGGGCCAAAGAAAAAGCCUAUUAGGCUACCUUGAACCGAAGGUAUUUCUUAUAUUAACUGGAAGAAAAUAGAUGAUAUCCCCUCACGUGCCUUAUAACAAUGGACUGAAAACUUGUGCAUACGAUGUGAGCGCAUGAACCAAGAUUUGGUGAUGGCACACGGAGGUGAGUUGUGUUUGCAGCUUUUGAGAUGUUUUUUUUUUUGGGGGAGGGGUGUAUGAAUUAGGUGAGCAGGCAAGUACUGACAAUGGACCAAUGUGCUCACAACGGCUGAAACCUUAGACUGGAACUAUGUCAGAUGAAAUAAUUGAGGUAGGUAUCAACUAGAGAGCUUAACAAUCCGAAAUGAUGAUUCUAUUAUUCUCUUGACAAAUGAAUCUGCACAACACAACUAUAUAUAUAUACAAGAGAGACAAUACAACGAUAGAAUAAAUUAUGGUUAUAAUCAUAAUCAAUGACAAAGGGGAUUUUACUAAGGACAAAUAUUCAAGAAGCUGACGGAUGAUUACAUAAAGAAGGUUGAUGCUAUCUACAAACAGAAAGAAAAGGUAUUAUAUAUUUCUACUUGUUUAGUUUAUCUAGCGCUUAUGGCAGAUUGUAGAUUAAUGAGAUGCUUAAACACAAAUUACACUCUCAAAGCCAUUUUUCAAAUGAGAUUGUAGAUUAAAGAAAAAAAGAAAAGAAGUUUCUCAGAUAAAAUGAGUUAAUUGUUUGUCACUUACAAAAGUAGUUUUUAUUACAUUUAGAGAAGUUAAAUGAGAGAUUCUGAAAUAUAUUGAGAAACAAAAAAAUAAUUUCAACUCACAAAAAACUAUAAUUUAAAAAAGCCGCUGUUACAAGAUUCUUUUUGUUUUUUGGAAGUACUUCUAUGAUUUCCUUGAUGUUCUCCCCCUUCUCACUUUCACUGUACUAUAAUUUAAAAAAGCCGCUAUGUAAUGGUCGGCAAAAGAUGUUUCAUUUGAACUUUAGAGUAACUUUUAGACUAUCUUUGGUGCUUUUGACUUGAUUGUGUUCAAUAUUAAUAACUUAAUGAAGAUUUGAAUGAAUAGGCAAAUUGGUCUUCAACAUUGUGAGUAUCGAUCAAAAUAAUCGAAUUGGCAAAUACAUUCAUGAAAUUGUAACACAUCAGUCAAAAAUAUUUAUCCCUUAACUUUUGCCAUUAGGGGGCUAUAAUGUGGGGGUGUUAAACGAAUAUGUUGUUUUCCACAUGGAUCCUACAUCUCUAGAAACAUAUGUGACAUGUUAAAUUAAUGCAUUUGAUGCCAACUUAAUGACCCUUGUCCCUCAAUGGAAAAUGAAUUAUGAAUUCUUUAUGCAUAAUGUAAAUGUUGGAUGGAGGCUUUCAAAGCAAAGCAAUUUUAAUAUAAAAUUUUAUUCAAAACGUGGAUGGUGUCUAUUGUCUUUUUAUGGCCCUAAUUGUGAAACUGUCACUAGUGGUAUGGUAUACAUGAGAUCACUAACUCCAAAUUCGAUGGAUAUACUUUGUUCCUUGAUUUUUGUAAGGGAUUGUCUUGGUGGCUUAAAAAUGUUGGAUGAUGCCUUAAUGUGAAAGCUAGUUGUUGACUUAAAUGCAAUUUUAAUAUAAAAUUUCAUUCAUAAUAUAAGACAUGGAUAUUAUCUAUUGUGCUUUAAUGACCCUAGUCCCUAAAUGCAAUUUUGCAACUACAAUAUGAACUGAUUUUGCAAAUGCAAAAGUCAUUGCGUCCUUGUGUUUGAUUAGCCUAAUGAUAAGGGUUUCAAAGUAAUUCUCUAAGGAAGACACGAAUCAACUGAAGCAAAGUACAAAGAAACCAACUCUUUGGAGUCUAAAUUGUUUCUUAUAAUAAUCUAUCUAUCUGGUAUAUAUGGCAUUAUGGCCACGAGGCUGUUUCUCCCAGGAAUCGAAUUUGGGUUCUCCCGAAUUAUUCAUCCCAGGUGGAGCUCAUUAAUCACUUGAGUCCAAUCACUUAGUUUAGUGAUUGCUACUUGUCCUUCAUGACUCAUGAUCACUUUUCAUUGCAUGACUUCUAUCUUAUUAUCAGCUUUCGCUUCUGUCAUUUUUACUUCCUUUUAGUUGAUUUGGGUUGGUUUCAGUGUUGUCAAACAUCGACUAGAGUAGCGGUACAAUGUAGCAGAAUUCAACCAAUCCACUGUUGUUCCGUAAUAUGCUAUUUAGUAGUUAGUACAAAUUGUUCUCUUUUGGUACAACAACCAUCAGACAAAUCAAGAAGCUGACAGAUGAUUACAUAAAGAAGGUUGAUGCUAUCUACAAACAGAAAGAAAAGGUAUUAUAUAUUUCUACUUGGUUAGUUUAUCUAGAGCUUAUGGCAGAUUUUAGAUUAAUGAGAUGCUUAUAUAUUAUAUUAAGAAUGCAAUGUCCUGCCAAUUGAGCUAAGUACACAGGACAACAUGCCACUUUUUAUUAUUUGCAACAUCAACAAACAACAUUCAAAUUUCUGCUUGAAAAAAGGUACAACUUUACCCAUUUUUUUCUCAUUCUUGAUCAUUCAAGAAAAUUCAAUCUUCUGCUUGAGAAAAACAAAAUUACCUUAAUUGUGCAAAGGGUGUUCUGUUCUGUCCCAAAAGGAACUUAAAAACAAUUUUUUGCUUGUCACGAUAAGGAGAGUUUCACUCGUUUUUUUGGAAUUUGCAUUCUAACAUAUUUGCCCCAUUUGGUUUAUAAUCGAUACAUAUUGGGCACGAUGGUGGGUUUCCUGUAACCCUAAAUUUUCAUUGUGUGAAGAAUCUGUUUUCAUUAUCUGAAAAAGGGUGGAGUAUAUAGCCAUGGUAACCCUAAAUUUGACCGUUGGAAUUGACGAAUAUAAUUUGUUUUAUAAAUUUUGGAACGGAUGGAUCAUAGAUGCCUCAAUGAACCUAGUCCGUGAAUGAGCUAGCUGUUGCCUUAAUUGCUACUCAAGCAAUCGUCUCUAUCGGUGUCCGCUUUUUUAUUCAUAAUAAUGCAUGAAUGGUUAUAUAUAUUCAGCUUUGAAUGCCUAAAUUCAAUUCUUCAACUGCAAUUAGAAGUGAUUGCAUUAUGAACAACAUUCAAUCUUCUGCUUCAUAAAAACAAAACAAAAGAAUCUUAAUUGAGCAAAUGUGUUCUUUUUGUCCAAUGACCCUUUUGUUUGUUUGGCACCAAUUUUUGAAAGAUUAACUUUUUCGUUUGAUACGGUAAAUUUUGGAACUUUCAUUUCAACAUCUUUGCAUUCAUGAAUCAUAUAUGUUGAGAUACCCAUUUUUUAUUUUGUCAAGAACAUUCAAUCUUCUGCUUGAAAAAGAGGUACAACUUUACCCAUUCUCCUGGUUCUUGAUCAUUGAAGAGCAUUCGAUCUUCUGCUUGAGAAAAACAAAAAGAACCUUAAUUGUGCAAAACGUAUUCUGUCCCAAGAUCAUGUUUGGUACCAAUAUUUAAAAAAAAAACAGAUUUUUGUUUGUUAGGAAAAUGUAGUUUCGCACGUUUUGGAAUUUUCAUUCCAACAUAUUUGCCCCAUCUGCUUUGUAAUCAAUACCUGUUGGGAACGAUAUGAUGGGCUUCGAUAAAAACUUUUAAUCUUAUGCUUCGAUAAAAGUGAUUGGAUGUCUUGAUGCCCAAAAAAUGUUGGAUAAAUUACUUAAUGACCCUAGUCCCUGAAUGCAAAAGCUAGUUGUUUCCUUAUUAUGAAUUUUUAUUCAUAAUAAUGCAUGAAUGGGUAUAUACUUUGACGACCCUUAGUCCCUAAAUUCAAUUCUGCAACUGCAAUUAGAAGUGAUUUUGCAUUAUGAACAUAAUGACCCUUGUCCCAAAUGUUUCAUAAGUUUUGUAAGGGAUGAAUACCUGAAUGACCUUUGAGAAAAAUGCAUUAUGAAUUCUUUAUUCAUAAUGGAAAAGUUGGAUGGUGGCUUUCAUAAGGGAAAACAAUUUAAUAUGAAAUUUUAUUCUAAUCGUGGAUGGUGUCUAUCAUCUCUUUAUGACCCUAAUUGUGAAACUGUCACUAGUGGUAUGACAUACAUGAGAUAACUCCAAAUUCAAUGGAUAUACUUUGUUCCUUGAUUUUUGUAAGGGAUUGUCUUGGUGGCCCAAAAAUGUUGGAUGAUGCCUUAAUGUCAAAGCUAGUUGUUGCCUUAAAUGCGAUUUUAAUAUAAAAUUUCAUUCAUAAUAUAAGGAAUGGAUUCUUAUCUAUUGUGCUUUAAUGACCCUAGUCCCUAAAUGCAAUUUUGCAACUACAAUAUGAACUAAUUUUGCAAAUUCAAAAAGCAUUGCGUCCUUGUGUUUGAUUAGCCUACUGAUAAGGGUUUCAAAGAAAUUCUCUAAGGAAGACACAAAUUAACUUAAACAAAGUACAUAGAAACCAACUCUUUGGAGUCUAAACUGUUUCUUAUAAUAUCUAUCUGGUAUAUAUGGCAUUAUGGCCACGAGGUUGUUUCUCCCGGGAUUCAAAUUUGGGUUCUCCCGAAUUAUAUUCAUCCCAGGGGUAGCUCAUCAUCUUUCUUCAUAAUAAUUGUUUGAAUCUCAGCCUUAUGGGAUAUUAGACAAUCAAACAAAAUGUUUUCAAGAACAUUCAAAAGAAACUGAUAUUCUUUGUGCUAAGACCCUAAAUUUGACUAUUGGAAUCGAUGAAUGUACUGUGUUUUAUAAAUUUUGUAACGGAUGGAUCAUAGACGCCUCAAUGACUAUAGAGUAAAAUGCUGGAUGAACUUAAUGACCCUAAUCCCUGAAUGUGAAAGCUAGUUGUUGCUUUAAUUGUCACUCAAACAAUUGUCUCUAUGUGUCUCCCUCUUUUUUGUCAAAAAAUAUAUAUGAAUUUUUAUUCAAAAUGCAAGAAUGGAUAUCUAUAGUGCUUCGGUGAUCCUUAGGUCCUAAAUUCAAUUUUGCAGUGAUUUGUCCUUAUUACCCAAUGUUUCAUAAGUUUGUAAGGAAUGGAUGCCUCAAUGAGACAAUGGCGUUAGAGUAAAAUGCAUUAUGACUCGAAUCAUGAAUCUGAGAUGAUUUUUUUUUCUUUUCAUUAUCUAUAAUGCGUUGUGUGGUAAACAUGAGCCCACUAACUCAAAAUUCAACAAUAAGAUGAAUAUACUUUGUUCUGUGAUUUUUGUAAGGGAUUUUCUUGAUGGUCCAAAAAUGCAGGAUGAUGCCUUAGGGCCCGAUUGGUUCGAGGUAGAUGGAGGGGAGGGGGGUAAUCUUGACAAAAAAAAAGAUUUCAUUUUAUUAAAUCAUUUUUUCAAAAAAAAAAAGUUUUCUAUUCUUGAAAAAAAAACGUUU